CACACUGCUGCACCUCCGCUGCAGACGCCUGAAUUAACUGUCUGAGGACACAGAAUUCACAGCUCCCUCACAGCCAGCGACACGCUAAGCAGGUUGCACUGAGUCUGGCCAGGAUGGAGUUAACUUCCCUCCUAUCAGCCCAUAUGGUGCUGUGUUUCAAAUUUGUGACUAAAACAAUGCUGCUAACAUCACUGCUUAAGCUAUUGCUGAACAGUGCUGUACAGCAUGAAGGCCUUCUCUGUUUCUCACUUUGCCCCCACAGUGGGUAGGCUGAGGGUGGGAGAAAGGCUGGAGCUAACACAAAGGGAUAUUCCAAGCCAUAAACCAUCAUGUUCAGCAAUAUAAACAGGGUUAGUUCUUCCAAGGUAGUGCUCUUGGCUCAGAGACUGAGCACCAGACUGCACCUCUGAGAAAGUGAGAGAGUGGUUGGAAGGUGCUUAAUUGCUGGCCAAGGCCAACCUACCACACAGAUACAUCAUCCAUAUCAUCCUAACCUACACAGACAACUGGAAAUUGGAAUUUCCAUCACCAACUUUGAUAGCUUCGUUUGACAUUCAGAUUUCUCAUGUGUGAAGCCAUGACCUUUACCUGUGCACAGCAACUACACUGCUAACAGAAACUUCUGAAUGAAGUAAAUUAUUUACUACUUGGUCUUCCCUCUUCCAGAGAACGACAGUAAUCCAACUGCAGCAAUAAAAAUCAAAAGAGGGAUAUGAGAGAUCUCAAAUAGAAAUUUUAAUUAUAUUUGGAAGUACUUAAUGCAUGGGAAUAAAUGAGGUAUGAAGGCAUCAGCACAGAUGGAAUAGGAAAUAAAAUUCCUGCAACUGGUGGAAAGCUAUGGACAAGGGACAGAACAAGAACUGAAGCUAUCACACAGACAGAACAACAAGUUACUCAACUGCAUAGAAUACUUGGGAAAAGACAUAGACAUUAUUUCAAGUAUAGUGACAAACUAGUGUGGAAUUAAAGCA